GGUGUUGGAUUCCUUGGACCUGGAGUUACAGGCAGUUGUGACCCAUCUUGGUGCUAGGAACCAGAUUCAGAUCCUCUGUAAGAACAGCAAGUGCUCAUACCUACUAUGAAGCUAUCUCUCAAUGUUGCUUUAUACAUUUUUUUUUUAAUUGUGUGAGUGUAAGCGUACAUGCUAGCACAGUGGCUGUGUGGAAGUCAGAAGACAAACUGUAGCACUGUGCUCUCCUUCAACCUUUGUGUGGGACCUAGAUCCUAGAGAUGGAACUCGGAGCGUCACGCUUGGCAUGGUGGGUUUUGCGUGCUGAGCCAACCUCAUUGGCUCCAGCCUCUUGUCUCCCUCCCUCCCCUUAUUUAUGUGCAUGCUAGGGCUCACAAGCACUGUGUGGUGUAUGUAUGGGUACCAGAGUUUGAGCCCAGACCAUCAGACUUAGUGAGAGUGUCUGUCCCUGCGGCGUCAUCAUGCUGGCCUAUCUUUUAACAAGAUAAUUUAAGUUCUCUUCAGAAUUAGUGUGCUAUGUUGCUUUAUUUCUUCUACCUUUGUUUUUAUUUCUUUUUUAUUAUUUUCCCAUUAUUAUUUCCUAAUAAUAAAGCCUAUUAUUUUCCUCUUACAACCUGACCUUUAAAAAGUAUAUGAUCACAUUGGUAUUAGUUGCGUUUUCAUCCAUAUUUGCUUAGAGCUUAUGUGAACUUUCCAUAAACUAAUGGUAUCUUUCCUUCCCUGCACUCAUAGUUAGAUACAUAUCUUCACUAUUUGAAAGUAAGAUCCUGCUGCCUGCUCACUCUUGUGCAUCAUGUCUAGAGCUCUCGCUAAGACAUUGCCUCUCCUGCUCUUGACGGAGUCCUUUGCGAUGUUUUUAUUUUCACUACCAGUUCACUCUACAUUUUGUUAAAAAUUUUACUGCAACCUUGUGCCCAAACUGUCUCUGUAGGUAUAACUAAAAUUUUAGUGUGAAUGGUGACUUGAAUGACAGUGUCUCCCUUAGGCUCCUAUAUUUGGAUGCUUGGUCCCUAGAUGGUAGAAGUGUUUGGGAAGAAUUAGAACUGGUCUUGUUGGAGGAGAUGUGUCACUCUGAGUGGGGUUUGAGAUUUCAAAAGACUCACGCCAUUCCUAUUGUGCUCUCUCUGUCUUAUGGUUGUGCUCAAGAUGUAAGCUCUCAGCGAUUGCUUCAGCAGGAGGCCUGCCUGCUGCACGCUCCCCAUAAUCAUAUUUAUGAACUCCAGUCCCUUGGAACUGUGAGCACCCAUUGAAAUUUUUUUUUAAGUUGCAUUGGUCAUGGUGUCUCAUUACAGCAAUAGAAAGUAAGACAGUGUAGAUUCAAAAAGCCCAGCUAAGUAAAGAUACAGUUUAUUCUGGAACCCAGUAUGGUAUCAUGGUCCAGGAACAGACUCAGGUUGUCCCAAAUACUGUAUUUUGAGGUCAUAACAAUUGUAAAGUUUUUAUAGUAACAGGAUCAUGAGAGUCAUAAGUCAACACACUUUUCAAAUAUGUUAAUGGAUAUAUUAGGUAGGCAGGUUAUAGCAAAAUAGAGAAACUUUGGCUAUAAGUUUCAGAUGCUAUCUGAUGACAUUCUUAUCUUUUGGGAUGGUUCCCCAAAAGACAUGUGAAAUAAUUACAAGGAAGUUAACACACUGAGAUAAGCAGUAAAUGGCUAUGAAAAGUCUAAGACAUAUCAAGUAGCUUGACUCUUGAUAUGUCAUUCUAUAGUACUCUUAACUUAUUCACUGAAGUUCUUACUUAGUUUUGAACUCACUCUUCUUCCACCCCCUUGGAACUUUAGUUCACAGUUACUUUGUUUCAGGUUAUAUAGUAGGUUUUAUCUUAAAAUUUUAAAAAGUUUGUUGUUAUUAAUUUAAAUAACAGUGUGACAGGCACUAUACUUUGUUUAUUUUUAAAUUAUAAGUGUUGAUAUGUUUGCUUUCUUGCUUGUCUGCUUGUGCACUGCCUGAAGAAGCCAGGAUAUCAAGAUCCUUUGGAAAGGGAGCUACAGGUGGUUGUGAAUUACUUGGUAGAGGCCCUGUGGACAAAGUCAUAGGUCCUUCUGCAAGAGCAGCAGUUGCUGCUGAAUCAGAUCCUAGUCUAACCUCCCCUUCCCUGCCAUGUUUGAGACAAGGUCUAAAUAUGUAGCCCUAGCUAGCCUAGACAGGGUGACCUUGAACUCACGGAGACCUACUUGCUUUGGCUUUUGAGUUCUGGGAUUAAAGGUAUGUGCUACCGUGCCCAGAGUUUAUUUUAAUUAUUUUUUAGCUUUUCUUUUAAAGCCAUACUGCAUGCAUUUAAUUAAAAAAUCUUAGUAUACAUUAAUCUUACUAUACAUUAGCUUAGUAUACAUAAAUAAAUUAGCUUAAUAUACAUAAAUCUUAGUAUACAUUGGGUUACCUACCAUUUUCCAAAUUAAAUUGAAGAGAAUUUGUAUGAUCUAAGAUGGGUUACUAUUGUUUUCUUCAUUUUUCUUUUUUUUUUUAAACCAAAUUAAUUUGCUCUUUGGAUUAUUUGCCUUAGGAAUAGUUAUAGACUUUUACUCUGCAUUGCUUUGCUACCUAUCUCUUUCUGGAAGGUUAUUAUAUCUUUCACGGAAUUCUUGACGUUUCUUUGUGUGCAUGUGUGUACAUGUUUGUGUGUAGGUCAUAUGUGCAUUUGUGGAGAUCACAGGUCAAUCCGAGGUAUUUUAUUCUGCAGGUGCCUUGUCUCUGUUGUUUAAGACAGGCUUUUUCAUUGACCUGGACCUUAACCAAGUGGACCUGGCUAGCUGGCUUUGCAAGCUCCACCCUCCAUCUUGUUAUCAUCAGGAUUACAAGCAAUAGUCACCAUACCUGGCUUUCUACAUGGAUUCUGGAGAUUUGAAUUUAAGUCUUCAUACUGUAAAAUAAGCCUUUAUUGACUUAAGCCAUAUCAACUGUUUAGGUUUCUUUCUGGGUUACUGGUUAUUCUUCUUGCCUUUUGAUUGGUGCUCCAGUAUAGAGUGGACUCCUCUAAGUGGUGGUGGUCCACACUGCAAGAAUGGAGAGAAGACAGUAGGAUUAGCGUCCUAACAUUUUCCAUCGGAUCUUUAGCCAGCAGGUUGUAUUGGAAGGGGAACCAUAGCCGGUUGUAUCAAAGCUUAGUUUUAUUCCUUUGGUCAAGUGAUCAGUCUUUGAGAUUUAUGGUGAUAUUUUUUCCUCCUUUCUUGAUUUCUCUAUAGCAGAGAGGCUCACAAAUAUCUAAGUCAUUGUGUCUUGCAUUUCUUCUGUGUACCUCCUAAGUCAAAGGUAGGUUAAUGUAAUUUUGUAUGUGUAGAUUUCUUCCUUUUUAUAACACAGAAUCAAAAUCAGAAAGAUAAACCUUGUUCCUUUCACUUAAUGGUUAAGCAAAUGAGCCUGUCAAUUACCUGAACAAGGAAAAUUCUCAACAAAAGCUCUAACUUCGAGUCAUGAUGAUAUACUUGAAGACAUGUU
rnacentral:lncRNA from 1 species